rnacentral:rRNA from 1 species
GAUGAACGCUAGCGGCAGGCCUAAUACAUGCAAGUCGAACGGUGUCUUCGGACAUAGUGGCGCACGGGUGCGUAACACGUAUGCAACCUACCUUACAUUGGGGGAUAGCCUUUCGAAAGGGAGAUUAAUACCGCAUAAGACAGUAACAUGGCAUCAUGUAGCUGUUAAAGAUUUAUCGAUGUAAGCUGGGCAUGCGUCCAAUUAGUUAGUUGGUGAGGUAACGGCUCACCAAGACGAUGAUUGGUAGGGGAACUGAGAGGUCAAUCCCCCACACUGGCACUGAGAUACGGGCCAGACUCCUACGGGAGGCAGCAGUAGGGAAUAUUGGGCAGUGGGCGCAAGCCUGACCCAGCCAUGCCGCGUGCAGGAAGAAGGCGUUCUGCGUUGUAAACUGCUUUUAUAUAGGAAGAAACGACCCUUGCGAGGGGCAUUGACGGUAUUAUAUGAAUAAGCACCGGCUAACUCCGUGCCAGCAGCCGCGGUAAAAC